ensembl:snRNA U6 U6 spliceosomal RNA
GUGCUUGCUUCAGCAGCACAUAAACUAAAAUUGGAAUGAUACAAAGAAAAUUCGCAUGGCCCCCUGCACAAGGCUGACACGCAAAUUCGUGAAUCGUUCCAUAUUAAA